rnacentral:rRNA from 1 species
UACGAAGGGUGCAAGCGUUAAUCGGAAUUACUGGGCGUAAAGGGUGCGUAGGCGGUUCGUUAAGUCUGUCGUGAAAUCCCCGGGCUCAACCUGGGAAUGGCGAUGGAUACUGGCGAGCUAGAGUGUGUCAGAGGAUGGUGGAAUUCCCGGUGUAGCGGUGGAAUGCGUAGAGAUCGGGAAGAACAUCGGUGGCGAAGGCGGUCUGCUGGGCCGAUACUGACGCUGAGGAGCGAAAGCGUGGGGAGCGAACAGG